rnacentral:lncRNA from 1 species
UUUUUUUUUUAUAAAUAUUGUGAAAUACUCCACUAAUAAAUUAAUUAUGAUUUCAUACAAAAAAAACAUGAGAUUAUCAUUGAGUUUAAUUUUUAUCAAAUUUAAAUUUUUUAUAAGAUGAUUUACAUUUCAAACUUUGAAAUGAUAUUAGUAAUUUUUUUUCUUUUUGAGUAAAAUAAAUGUAAAACAUUAAAUAAUUG